AAAAGUACAAAAGAUCUAGGAUGCCAAAUAUAUCCUUGGUUAAAUUGGAGGCAUUUUUAUCAUCUUUAAUUUGCUAGGGGAAGGAGUUAGAAGAGGAGACCAAGCAGAUCAAGAGAAGACUGUGGUACAAAACCAAGGCAUUCCUCCUAUCUCGCCAAAUCAGCAAACAUAUCUUGAAUAUCUCAAAUCAUUCUUCAAGAACAUCUUCGGUCAAGUUCUUAGAGCAAUUGUCUUCCU
rnacentral:lncRNA from 1 species